rnacentral:rRNA from 1 species
CAUAGGUUAAUGAGGCGAACCGGGGGAACUGAAACAUCUAAGUACCCCGAGGAAAAGAAAUCAACCGAGAUUCCCCCAGUAGCGGCGAGCGAACGGGGAGGAGCCCAGAGCCUGAAUCAGUGUGUGUGUUAGUGGAAGCGUCUGGAAAGGCGCGCGAUACAGGGUGACAGCCCCGUACACAAAAAUGCACAUGCUGUGAGCUCGAUGAGUAGGGCGGGACACGUGGUAUCCUGUCUGAAUAUGGGGGGACCAUCCUCCAAGGCUAAAUACUCCUGACUGACCGAUAGUGAACCAGUACCGUGAGGGAAAGGCGAAAAGAACCCCGGCGAGGGGAGUGAAAAAGAACCUGAAACCGUGUACGUACAAGCAGUGGGAGCACGCUUAGGCGUGUGACUGCGUACCUUUUGUAUAAUGGGUCAGCGACUUAUAUUCUGUAGCAAGGUUAACCGAAUAGGGGAGCCGAAGGGAAACCGAGUCUUAACUGGGCGUUAAGUUGCAGGGUAUAGACCCGAAACCCGGUGAUCUAGCCAUGGGCAGGUUGAAGGUUGGGUAACACUAACUGGAGGACCGAACCGACUAAUGUUGAAAAAUUAGCGGAUGACUUGUGGCUGGGGGUGAAAGGCCAAUCAAACCGGGAGAUAGCUGGUUCUCCCCGAAAGCUAUUUAGGUAGCGCCUCGUGAAUUCAUCUCCGGGGGUAGAGCACUGUUUCGGCAAGGGGGUCAUCCCGACUUACCA